CUAGACACAGGCCAGCGCCUCAGCCUUCCCUGCGCUAAACCCCCGAUGCCGUCCUCGAGCCCUGUGCCAUCCUACUCUACCUCGCAACAAUCCAACAGAUUUAGCAGUGACUUCUUUCACCAGUCGGCAUUGUUGGAACGUGAACACAUAUUUGGUGUGUCGAGCUGUUUAUGGAGGAGAGAGAUUUCACAUCACAGGUACAAACUGGUUCAAAGGUCACCUCCAUUGUCUGGCUCUAGAAGCGGGUGGCUUAGACUUAUCGAGUACUGACUGAUAAUAUGUGACAACAUUUGCUGGUACAAUGCUGUAUCUUUGCACCACUUCAGUAUCGGUUAUGCUAAGUCAAAUUGUAUGACGGUACUGAUAAAUACAAAAUGGAUCACAAGACGAUUUUCUCCUUUGUGGCAACAGCACGACAGUCUGUCCAUGAGUCAUGCGCCGCUUUACUCACUGUGCUUUACUCUGUGUCAUGAGGGUUGUUUACUUGGGCAAUGGUGAACAGAAAGCAUGGAUGAUGCUCUGACGCUGGAGCACGAUGUGUGAGUCAGCUCGGAGAAGAUGAAUACUAUCUCUGCAUUGAAGCAAUGUCUCAAGCGGCAUUAGACGCAGUGUUUUGUUCCAGGGUUUUUCGUUGUGGGUUUUUAUUUAGGAUUCACCGCAGUCUGAGUCAGGGUGUGACACCAGGUUUCCCCGCAGGUAGUGUGCCCAUUUAAUGAAUAAUUAUCCCACGGUCUGUCUCCACCUUUCAGCCGUGAGUGAUUGUGCAUUCUAGCUAGAGAAGGUAAGUCAAUAUUUCAUCACCAACAUUGAAUACCGUUGCUAUUAACACCUAAGGACUCAUGAUUGUGGUUGAGGAGCGAUGAGUCAGUGCCUGUUGGCCUCUCUCUGCCCCCCCCUCUCUCCGUUAUUCAUAAGUGCAGGCUGACCAAAUACUCUCUUUUUUUUUGCUCAAUCCAGGUACAAAAGCAAUUCAUUUAAUGGAUGUGUGCAUGUCUGCUUCCCUGGAGUUUGCUGGAAUACAAAAGCAGACUGAGUGCACGCUGUGAUGCAGCAGGGCAAAGAUUUAUGAAAGUGCAGGAGUGGGGUUUUCCUGGCGAGAGAAGUGCUGUGUCACCAUUGCAAGGUGACACUGGAGACCGUCUAGCAUCCCAGAGCAGGUCUGCGGCUUAUUCGAAGGCAUGCUGGAGAAACUUGAACUAGAUGAUGAUGCUGCUGAACCUGAGAGUGAUAUUUACAUGCGCUUCAUGAAAUCCCACAAGUGCUAUGACAUCGUCCCCACAAGCUCCAAGCUGGUUGUGUUCGACACGGCACUCCAAGUGAAGAAAGCGUUCUUCGCCUUGGUAGCCAACGGUGUGCGAGCUGCUCCACUAUGGGACACAGAGAAGCAAAGCUUUGUGGGAAUGCUGACAAUCACAGAUUUCAUCAUCAUACUACACCGAUACUAUAAGUCACCAAUGGUUCAAAUAUAUGAAUUGGAGGAGCAUAAGCUUGAGACAUGGAGAGAGGUUUACCUUCAAGCGACAUUCAAACCUCUGGUCAACAUAUCACCUGAUGCAAGCCUGUUUGAUGCAGUGUACACACUCAUCAAAAACAAAAUUCACCGCCUGCCUGUCAUCGACCCCGUCACGGGGAAUGCACUUUAUAUUCUCACACACAAGAGGAUCCUCAAGUUCCUCCAGCUUUUUAUGUGUGAAAUGCCAAAGCCAGCUUUCAUGAAGCAGACUCUCGGGGAGCUGGGCAUCGGUUCGUACCACGACAUUGCUUUCAUCCACCCGAACACGCCCAUCAUCAAAGCACUCAACAUAUUUGUGGAGAAGAGAGUGUCCGCCCUGCCUGUGGUGGAUGAGUCGGGCAAAGUUGUGGAUAUUUACUCCAAGUUCGAUGUGAUCAACUUGGCUGCCGAGAAGACGUACAACAACCUGGACAUCACGGUGACGCAGGCUCUCAAACACCGCUCCCAGUACUUCGAAGGAGUCAUGAAGUGCCAUAAAAUGGAAACGAUGGAGACCAUUGUGGACCGAAUCGUCAAAGCUGAAGUGCAUCGGUUGGUGGUGGUGGACGAGCGCUCGAGCAUCGAGGGCAUCGUCUCCCUGUCCGACAUCCUCCAGGCCCUGGUGCUCAGCCCGGCAGGUAGGAAACACACCUGCGUUGCCGCCUGUAGCUGGCUGUGAGGAGGAGGCAUGGUGGCGCCUGGCGUCCUGGUUGCUGUGCUGGAGGCUGCUGCAUGCAGCAGUGUCGUGUGGGUGUUUUCGGGGGUGAAGAGGCUGCCACAUUCUGUCGGGACACAAGACUCCACUGCUGCUGAUGGCUGUAAGGAGGAGACCCUGACUGAGUGAGAGGGAGGAAGCGUCGGUGGAGUAAUUAAGUGUGGUGGUUGAGGUCGGGCCCUUUGCGCAGAGCAGAACCGGUCUCACGGUGCCAGAGACCCCUGCAACGGAUGCACUGUAGAGGCUUGGAAACCAAAGAGCUAGACGGCGGCAUGGAGUGGAGUUCCUGCACCGAGGACGGAUUUUCUGUUUGUUUGAACAUUGAUCACACACACACACACACACACACAAUAUACUGUAUUUAAACAGACGCAUACGUAGAGAUGCAUUUUGGUCACUUGCUUGGGCGAAGGUGGGGAAGUCUAGACUGCUCCUGAUGAAUUAGUUUUGGGUUGUAGUGACAAUCAUGCUGCUGUCAAUCGGUUGAUUGUUAGAUGCAUUUUGGAGUCAGGACGGAAUGUCAUCACCUUCAGAAAAACGUGUCAGUUUUUGGUGUAGAGGCAACUUUGUGUUUGGUAGCAAAACAACACUUCACCUGAAAUGUGGCCGUUACAAAAAAAACAAAAAACAUUUGCCAGUGCCAAUAUGGAGGGAUUGAUGCUGAAUCUUUAUUUGUGCCUUUUGUUGCCCUGCCCACUUAAAACUGGCAAGAAGUUGUCCUUUGGAAUUUGCAUAGUCAAAUGAGUGCAAUUAUUAUACUACUUGUAAUUCAAACAUUGUUUUCCUUUUUAUUUUGUUGUAUUUUCUCAGAUUUUUAAACCAUGUCAGAAGUGUCAAAUGUCUGGAAAGAAAAGAAAAGAAAUCCUAAAUAAAAUCGAAAUAAAUUUGGCACAAAAACAUGCAGUGGUUGGAGGCAAAUACAACGGUAUAUCAAAAAGUAUGUCAGUUAGUACUUUUAUGUCAUCAUUCAGACUCCUUGCCUUUUGUAAUAUUGGUUACAAGACCGUAAAAUGUCUUUUCCGAUGUUUGCCUUCCAAUUGUUUUGACGCUUCAAAUAUUUUGAUUCUCGCAAACAUGCGAAACAUUCACGUUCUCUCUGCUGUAGCUCGACAGGAAUCAUCUCUGACUGUAAAUAAGAUUGGUUGGUUUUUUUCGGGGGAAACGUGUCUCACAAAGCUUUAUUUUUAUGAGUGUGUCAACAUGUUUAAAGAGACUGCAGUUUUAUUGUUAUUUUUGUAAAUAUAUUGUUGCAAUAUGUCCGGUUCUAAGAGACUUUGUAUCAGAUCCAAAUGUACUGUAAAUGUGCAAGCAUGAGAAACUACACUUCAGCAGUUUGAAUGUCCUUUGUUUGACUUUUUUCUAUUUUUCUUGCUGCAGAAAAAUAAAUGGACACUGAAUGUACUUUAAA